UCCCGCUUAUCACCGGCAGUUUCUCUAGAGUGCUCAACUAAAUGGUAGCAACUAGAGACGAGGGUUGCGCUCGUUGCGGGACUUAACCCAACAUCUCACGACACGAGCUGACGACAGCCAUGCACCACCUGUGACGGUGCCCCGAAGGGAAGACGUGUUUCCACGCCGGUCACCGACAUGUCAAGCCCAGGUAAGGUUCUUCGCGUUGCGUCGAAUUAAACCACAUGCUCCACCGCUUGUGCGGGCCCCCGUCAAUUCCUUUGAGUUUCAGCCUUGCGGCCGUACUCCCCAGGCGGGGCACUUCAUGCGUUAGCGCCGGCACCCAGGGGGUCGCUCCCCCAGGCACCAAGUGCCCAUCGUUUACGGCGUGGACUAC
rnacentral:misc_RNA from 1 species